GACGAACGCUGGCGGCGUGCUUAACACAUGCAAGUCGAACGGAAAGGCCCUGCUUUUGUGGGGUGCUCGAGUGGCGAACGGGUGAGUAACACGUGAGUAACCUGCCCUUGACUUUGGGAUAACUUCAGGAAACUGGGGCUAAUACCGGAUAGGAGCUCCUGCUGCAUGGUGGGGGUUGGAAAGUUUCGGCGGUGGGGGAUGGACUCGCGGCUUAUCAGCUUGUUGGUGGGGUAGUGGCUUACCAAGGCUUUGACGGGUAGCCGGCCUGAGAGGGUGACCGGCCACAUUGGGCCUGAGAUACGGCCCAGACUCCACCGGGAGGCAGCAGGGGGGAAUAUUGCACAAUGGGCGGAAGCCUGAUGCAGCAACGCCGCGUGCGGGAUGCCGGCCUUCGGGUUGUAAACCGCUUUCGCCUGUGACGAAGCGUGAGUGACGGUAAUGGGUAAAGAAGCACCGGCUAACUACGUG
rnacentral:rRNA from 1 species